GGGGAUGUAAUGGUUUCGACGGGGGAUAUGCGGUGGCCUGGGAAGCGAGCCAAGGUCGCGCCAGCUUGUAAAACGGUGCACUUAAAAUUAAACGCUAAAAACAAUAAUUUAGCAGUAGCUGCCUAAGUGCAGUUAACCGCUCUACCUGUUGCGCCUGCGGUGCAGGAUAGAGUGUCACUCUAGCGGGCUACCGAUGUGCCAGUGUUGGGUAACAGAUCGGGAACUUUACCUGACUGGUUUGGGGCAAUCCUGUUUGUGGGAGUGUUUCAGACGAGAUUAAAACAUAAACUACGCUCGUAGAGGCCCGGGGUGUCGGUCUUUCGGACAGGGGUUCGACUCCCCUCAUCUCCAUUU
rnacentral:tmRNA from 1 species